rnacentral:rRNA from 1 species
GCUUAUAGCCACACCACCCUGAUCUCAUCUGAUCUCUGAAGUGAAGAGGAGUCGGGCCUGGUUAGUUUUUGGAUGGGAGGCUGCCUGGAGUUACCAGGUGCUGUGAGUU